rnacentral:rRNA from 1 species
GAUGAACGCUAGCGGGAGGCUUAACACAUGCAAGUCGAGGGGCAUCUCUGGUAGCAAUACUGGAGGCGACCGGCGUACGGGUGAGUAACGCGUAUGUAACCUACCCUUUACCGGGGGAUAGCUCCCGGAAACGGGAAUUAAUACCCCAUGAGGUUUCGGAGGCGCAUGCUUUCGGGAUCAAAGCUACGGCGGUAAAGGAUGGGCAUGCGUAGCAUUAGCUAGUUGGUAGGGUAACGGCCUACCAAGGCUACGAUGCUUAGGGGACCUGAGAGGGUGUACCCCCACACUGGUACUGAGACACGGACCAGACUCCUACGGGAGGCAGCAGUGAGGAAUAUUGGUCAAUGGGCGGAAGCCUGAACCAGCCAUGCCGCGUGCGGGAUGAAGGCCCUACGGGUUGUAAACCGCUUUUCCCCGGGAAGAACUAAGCCCCCGCGGGGGUCGAGUGCCGGUACCGGGGAAUAAGGAUCGGCUAACUACGUGCCAGCAGCCGCGGUAAAGUCACGUCG